GGCCGGGCUGGCCCGGCUGCUGGCCCGGCUGCUGCGGGUAGCCGUAGCCGGCCCCCGGCUGCGGGGCCUGCCCGUACGGGCCGGGCGCGGCCG
rnacentral:tRNA from 1 species